rfam:Picea glauca, whole genome shotgun sequence.
GCAUGCCUACAUUAUAGCAUUAAUGCAUCGGAUCCCAUUAGAGCUUUGCAAUUAAGCACGUUCGGGCUAGAGUAGUACUAGGAUGGGUGAUCGUCCGAGAAGUCCUGGUAUUUUACAUGCC